UUGUUGACCACAAAGUCCUUGUGAAAGUUGAUUUUGCAUCUAACGCUGAAGAAUAUGAGGAGAUAAUUCAUACAAUUGAAGAAGUACUUAAACAUUCAAAUGAAAACUGCAGCACAAAUAAUGAAACUUUGUGCAUUGAUCCAAAUUCUACAUUAAUAAACAGAACAGAACUAAAUGAAUCAGAAAUAUGUAAGGACUCUGCACCUACUGAGUUCAAAAAAUAUUAUGACGCUGUCAAUUCAUCACGGGGCACACUCUGCCUAUCAGUAUGCAACACACAACGGAGUGACCGCCACCCAUGCAGUACUACCAAUGGGAGGUGCAUCCUGAAGAAAGCAGG